AUGUCGCUCCUUAGCCUCAACAACAGCAAGAUCACAUCAGCAGAGCAAAGCAGCAAGCCAGCAGUCAGUGCCCAGCAGCAAGCCAGCAAGCAUGCAGCAGCUCGCAGAAACGCCUCAGCAAGCAAGCACACAUCAACCAGCAAGCAAGUGCCCAGCGGCCAGCGAGCCAUUCAUUCCCGUGCUUGUUCAAUCAACCGAAUAGAGGCGGGCUUUUACUGUGCUGGCUGUGCUUCCAUGUCCCAUGUCCCUGACAUGUUGAUGGUGUCCCGGCGGCAUAUCAGCCUUUUGGUUCUUUCCUUUUUUGAUCGGAGAAGGGGAUACUCUGGGGAUAUGCGUAUUGCAUGUGUAUCAUGUUUUGUACGCGGACACGCCGACCUGGACGUAUCGGUGCUUUGUAGUCAUGUAGUGCCACCUAAGCAAAAAGAUAACGUGGCACUAUAA
rnacentral:rRNA from 1 species